AUUGAACGCUGGCGGCAGGCCUAACACAUGCAAGUCGAGCGAGCGGCGGACGGGUGAGUAAUGUCUGGGAAACUGCCUGUUGGAGGGGGAUAACUACUGGAAACGGUAGCUAAUACCGCAUACCAUCAGAUGUGCCCAGAUGGGAUAAGCUAGUAGGUGGGGUAACGGCUCACCUAGGCGACGAUCCCUAGCUGGUCGGAGAGGAUGUCCAGCCACACGGGAGCUGAUACACGGUCCAGACGCCUACGGUAGGCAGCAGUGGGGAAUAGUGCGCAGUGGGCGCAAGCCUUGUGCAGUCAUGCCGCGUGUGUGAAGAAGGCCUUCGGGUUGGAAAGCACUUUCAGCGGGGGGGCGUUACCCGCAGAAGAAGCACCGGCUAACUCCGUGCCAGCAGCCGCGGUAAUUC
rnacentral:rRNA from 1 species